rnacentral:pre_miRNA from 1 species
UCUUCAUUUUACAUACUAUGUCACCGGUCAGAGAGACGAGAGAGUGCGUGAAAUGAAGAGA